rnacentral:rRNA from 1 species
UGAUCAGCCAUGCCGCGUGAGUGAAGAAGGCCUUCGGGUUGUAAAGCUCUUUCGGCCGGGAAGAAAUCGCACAGGCUAAUACUCUGUGUGGAUGACGGUACCGGCAUAAGAAGCACCGGCUAACUACGUGCCAGCAGCCGCGGUAAUACGUAGGGUGCGAGCGUUAAUCGGAAUUACUGGGCGUAAAGCGUGCGCAGGCGGUUAGAUAAGUUUGAUGUGAAAUCCCCGGGCUCAACCUGGGAACUGCAUUGAAGACUGUCUGACUAGAGUACGGCAGAGGGGGGUGGAAUUCCACGUGUAGCAGUGAAAUGCGUAGAGAUGUGGAGGAAUACCGAUGGCGAAGGCAGCCCCCUGGGUCGAUACUGACGCUCAUGCACGAAAGCGUGGGGAGCAAACAGGAUUAGAUACCCUGGUAGUCCACGCCCUAAACGAUGUCAACUAGUUGUUGGUAGGGUUAAACCUAUUAGUAACGUAGCUAACGCGUGAAGUUGACCGCCUGGGGAGUACGGUCGCAAGAUUAAAACU